UUUAGCAAACUGGGAGUAAAACAAGUGAUUAUUUGCUCAAAUUAAAGGCAGUUGGACUCAACAGUGAUCCCAACUGCUUACCAAGGAACCAGUGAUCCAGCUCUUUCCCAUUUUAGAUGUGUUGUUUGUGUUUUAGCUGAUUCAAGCUAACACUGCUGCUUGUCUUUCUGCCACUCAGUGAGUGUAACUAUGUUCUGUGACAUCACGCAGAAUUCUCAGAAUUCUGAGAAAAAAGUCAGAAUUCUUUAAAAAAAAGUCAGAAUUCUGAGUUUAAAGUCAGAACUCAAAAAAAAUUUCACGAGGUCCUAAUCCUCUUCCGCACGUUAGUAACAUGGACUGGAGCAAGAGUUUCAGAGUGAGCCAUAACUGUGCCAGCUCAGCUGCUCCUAGUGCAACACCCCAGUAUGGAUCAGCUUAUGGAAUUUUACUUUGAACCCGGGCAAUUCCUUUGCUUACUACUGCUCAAUAGGCAUGUUUAUGUAAUUGAUUAUGUAAUUAAUCAAAGCACCAUGGCAGGUGCUUUGAUCGACCCAAGGUGAGGAAAGAGACCCGGGACGGGAGCCAUGCGGGCCCAGCUUGGACUUACGGCUGCUCCUGGUAAAUGUCCAAAAUGGGACAUGGUGCCAAGCAACUGGAAAUCAGAGACUGUUAUGUCCACAUCUUUACAGAGACCUGUCACACUGUGUGCCUGUCUGCUCUGUUUAGUUAGUUCUCAAGUCAGUUUUGUUAUUUUAGUCAGUUCUGUAUCUGUUAUUUAGUUGUGUUUUGGUUUUCAGCUCUGUCUGUCAUCUUGUGUUCAGUAAUCCCGGUGUUAGUUAGUUAGUUAGUUAGUUGUGUUCCACUGCCUGUUUGAUGCCAGUCUGUUCUGUGUUUCUUGUUUCAGUCUGUUUCCUGUUUAGUUUGGUUUUGAUCUGUGCCUGCCUUAGUUCCUGUCUCAUUCUGUUAUUAUCUGGUAUUUGUUUCAUGCUUGGUUUCUGUCUGCCUGUCUGCUAAGUGUUAAUUGUAUUCUCUGCCUGAUUUGUAGUUCAUGAUCAUCCUGUGUUAGCCUGUUCUGUUCAGUUAUCUUAGUCUGUUCUGUCUCGUGGAGUUGCCUGUGUUUCUCAGUUACUUGGUCUGUCUUAUCUGUUCUGUGUUUUGAGUUCCAGUUAGAUUCUUGUCUUGUGUUUUGCAACCUGUUAGUGUCUUUCUGUUUUCCCCUGCUGUCUCUCUGCCUGCCUGUCUCGUUAGUCUCAUCUCUGUCAGAUGUGUUGCUCCCACCCUGCUUGUUAGUUUCUGUGUAUAUAUGCUUGCUUGUGUCUUUAGUAUUUGUCCGGUCAUUGUAGCUUGCUGCUGCUCUGUCUAUGGAACUUGUCGUGUGAUAUAUUCUGCCCAUUUGUCCACCCUGCUUAUUUCCUAUGGAUCUGGAUUUCUGUUGGAUCUCUUUGUUCGUUUGGAUUGUUUGAGUUUUGGAUAAUCUGGAUUCAGCCACACUUCUUGUUAUUGUGCUCGCGUUUGUUUAAUUAAGUCUUUGAACUUUACCUGCCAGUAUCCGUGUCUUGCAUUUGGGUCCUCAACCACACACGCAUUCAGCCGCUUUGUGACAAGACCUGCCCCAUUAAUAUCCUGGAUAAAUGUCUCAGCAGGAUCACCGUGUUCGAAGUUGUCAGAAAGAGGAGGUGUUUACUUCGGUCAUGCUUGGUGCUCAUUCACAGUCAAAAUGGAUGAACACUGUUUCUUAAAUGUUACUCGCUCAAAAAGGAUAAAGAAACCUAACACACAAACUGUCACUCACGGAACUGGGGAGUCUUAACAGUCUUGUCUUGUAAGUAAAAUUAUUGUGACUUGAAAACUAGAACUUAUAUUUGGCAUUAAGGACGGGCCUUAGGGGGCCAGGCCCACCUACAGAGGUUCUGUGCCCCACCCCACCCCUCCAAAAGUUGGCAUAAAAAAUUAUUUUAAAAGAAAA